CUUUUAAUUAAUUAAUUAAUUAUUAUGUCUUACAUUUAAAAUUUAUUUUAAACACAAAUAAUUAUUAAUAUUAAUAAAAAUAAUAAUAAUUUAUUAUAUUAAAAAAUAUACAGCACAAAUUACAUAAAUACCCUCAACAAAUUUAUUUGGGAAAUGUAAAAUAAGGGCAAAAUUGGCAUUUUACACUUGCACCAUUUUGGUGCAAAGUGAAUAGUGUUGCACCAAAUAUGGUGCAACACUAUUCACUUUGCACCAUUUUGCACCAAAAUGGUGCAAAGUUUGGUGUUGGGUUGGAGCAAUUUUGCACCAAAAAAUGGUGCAAAAUGGUGCAAUGGUGUUGUGGUUGGAGAUGGC
rnacentral:lncRNA from 1 species